rnacentral:rRNA from 1 species
UACGUAGGGAGCAAGCGUUGUCCGGAAUCAUUGGGCGUAAAGCGCGCGUAGGCGGCCCGAUAAGUCCGCUGUAAAAGUCAACGGCUCAACUGUUGAAAGCCAGUGGAUACUGUCGGGCUAGAGUACGGAAGAGGCAAGUGGAAUUCCUGGUGUAGCGGUGGAAUGCGCAGAUAUCAGGAGGAACACCUAUAGCGAAGGCAGCUUGCUGGGACGUUACUGACGCUAAGGCGCGAAAGCGUGGGGAGCGAACAGG